AUUGAACGCUGGCGGCAUGCCUUACACAUGCAAGUCGAACGGCAGCACGGGAGCAAUCCUGGUGGCGAGUGGCGAACGGGUGAGUAAUACAUCGGAACGUGCCCAGUAGUGGGGAUAACCGGCGAAAGCCGGACUAAUACCGCAUACGACCUACGGGUGAAAGCAGGGAUCGCAAGACCUUGCGCUAUCGGAGCGGCCGAUGUCAGAUUAGCUUGUUGGCGGGGUAAAAGCCCACCAAGGCGACGAUCUGUAGCUGGUCUGAGAGGACGACCAGCCACACUGGGACUGAGAC
rnacentral:rRNA from 1 species